CCAGAGGUGGCCCAGGUCAAGCAUCACAGAAGAUCAGGCUGGGUCCUGAGAUCCGCUGGGUCCUGCAUCUGGGAGCAGACCAAUGGCAGAGGCUGGAGGUAGCAGAACGAGCGAGGAGGACUGCACACACCUCCCUGCAGCUGUGCUUUCUGCCACCAAGCAUAGACUUUGGAGACAGCGCACGCAGGCUGACUCCAGCCGUCACACUGACUGGUGACCUGGAGCUAGUUUGCAGCUCGUGAGUGUGAAGCAGUGGAAGGAAGAUUUUCUGAAACUAGCGGGGAGUUCAGUCGUGACAGACGUGCUUGCAGCCCAGGAUGAGCUGAGCAGCUGGAAGAUGUUUGAGGUGAGCUCCUCACAUUCCAAAGGACUCUCAGUGAGCACCAUGGACUGCCCAGUUCUCGACUCCAGGAUUAUGAGCCAAAUAAAUCCCUUUUCUUCGUAAGGUUCCCUGCCUCAGACAUUUUGUUAUAGCAACACAGAACAGACUGAGACAAUUAGAUUUUGUAACAUGGACCCCCACACAUAUACACACAAGGAUGUGAGUCAGUCAAUGCUCUCAGCCCACCUCACAUUGGUUCUGUAGCUAGAGAGGGCCAUGACUGAUCACAAG